GGGAAUCUACCGAGCCCUGCGGAAUAGCUCCGGGAAACUGGAAUUAAUACCGCAUACGCCCUACGGGGGAAAGAUUUAUCGGGGUUUGAUGAGCCCGCGUUGGAUUAGCUAGUUGGUGGGGUAAAGGCCUACCAAGGCGACGAUCCAUAGCUGGUCUGAGAGGAUGAUCAGCCACAUUGGGACUGAGACACGGCCCAAACUCCUACGGGAGGCAGCAGUGGGGAAUAUUGGACAAUGGGCGCAAGCCUGAUCCAGCCAUGCCGCGUGAGUGAUGAAGGCCCUAGGGUUGUAAAGCUCUUUCAACGGUGAAGAUAAUGACGGUAACCGUAGGAGAAGCCCCGGCUAACUUCGUGCCAGCAGCCGCGGUAAUACGAAGGGGGCUAGCGUUGUUCGGAAUUACUGGGCGUAAAGCGCACGUAGGCGGAUAUUUAAGUCAGGGGUGAAAUCCCGGGGCUCAACCUCGGAACUGCCUUUGAUACUGGGUAUCUUGAGUAUGGAAGAGGUAAGUGGAAUUGCGAGU
rnacentral:rRNA from 1 species